GUCCGCAACGAGCGCAACCCACGUUUAGUUGCUAACGCGUGAAGGCGAGCACUCUAGACGAACUGCCGUUGACAAAACGGAAGGAAGGUGGGGAUGACGUCAAAUCAUCAUGCCCUUAUGUUCUGGGCUACACACGUGCUACAAUGGCCGGUACAGACGGACGCAAAGCCGCGAGGUGGAGCAAAUCCUAAAAAGACCGGUCUCAGUUCGGAUUGCAGGCUGCAAUUCGCCUGCAUGAAGUCGGAAUCGCUAGUAAUCGCAGGUCAGCAUACUGCGGUGAAUACGUUCCCGGGCCUU
rnacentral:rRNA from 1 species